UUCCGCUUCAUUUUUAAGUUCUACCACCUUCAGCAGGUAAUAACAUAGCUCACUACAUGCAGGUCUGUCAUUGAAGUUCGCAAUGGGUUUACAUUUCUUGACCUUAUUGUGAUUUAGAUUGAGUCCCUGAACAAGAAGUAUGGAUGCAGUGUUCCUUUGCUUCUAAUGAACUCUUUCAACAAUCAUGAUGACACACAGAAGAUUAUUGAGAAGUACUCCAACUCCAACAUUGAAAUUCACACUUUCAACCAGAGCCAAUACCCUCGCAUUGU